rnacentral:rRNA from 1 species
CAGUAGCCGCGGUAAUACGUAGGGUGCGAGCGUUAAUCGGAAUUACUGGGCGUAAAGGGCUCGCAGGCGGUUUCUUAAGUCUGAUGUGAAAGCCCCCGGCUUAACCGGGGAGGGUCAUUGGAAACUGGGAAACUUGAGUGCAGAAGAGGAGAGUGGAAUUCCACGUGUAGCGGUGAAAUGCGUAGAGAUGUGGAGGAACACCAGUGGCGAGGGCGACUCUCUGGUCUGUAACUGACGCUGAGGAGCGAAAGCGUGGGGAGCGAACAGGAUUAGAUACCCCUGUAGUCCCUGUCUCUUAUAC